rnacentral:rRNA from 1 species
GACGAACGCUGGCGGCGUGCUUAACACAUGCAAGUCGAACGGAAAGGCCUCUUUCGGGGGGUACUCGAGUGGCGAACGGGUGAGUAACAAGUGAGUAAACUGCCCUUGACUUUGGGAUAACUUAAGGAAACUGGGGCGAAUACCGGAUAGGAGCUACUGCUGCAUGGAGGGGGUUGGAAUGUUUCGGCGGCUGGGGGUGGACUCGCGGCGUAUCCGCUCGUUGGUGGAGUAGUGGCUUACCAAGGCGUUGACGGGUAGACGGACUGAGAGGGUGACCGGCGGCACUGGGACUGAGAGACGGCCCAGACACCGACGGGAGGCAGCAGGGGGAAAGAUUGCACAAGGGGUGGAAGCCGGAUGCAGCAACGCCGUGGGCGGUAAGACGGUCUUCUGGUUGAAGACCGCAUUCGCUCAUGACGAAGCUUUGUGUGACGGUAGUGGGUAAAGAAGCACCGGCUAACUACGUG